AGAAUACGAUGGCCCCCUCCUCCUCCCUGGGGUCGCUCGUGAGCGGUAAUGGCACUCCUCCUCCCAGCCAUUGCCGCACCCUAUACGCGGCCCCUCCUCCUCCCUGGGCCAGCGUUGCGC
rnacentral:sRNA from 1 species